rnacentral:rRNA from 1 species
AACGAACGCUGGCGGCAGGCUUAACACAUGCAAGUCGAACGCCCCGCAAGGGGAGUGGCAGACGGGUGAGUAACGCGUGGGAACAUACCCUUUCCUGCGGAAUAGCUCCGGGAAACUGGAAUUAAUACCGCAUACGCCCUACGGGGGAAAGAUUUAUCGGGGAAGGAUUGGCCCGCGUUGGAUUAGCUAGUUGGUGGGGUAAAGGCCUACCAAGGCGACGAUCCAUAGCUGGUCUGAGAGGAUGAUCAGCCACAUUGGGGCUGAGACACGGCCCAAACUCCUACGGGAGGCAGCAGUGGGGAAUAUUGGACAAUGGGCGCAAGCCUGAUCCAGCCAUGCCGCGUGAGUGAUGAAGGCCUUAGGGUUGUAAAGCUCUUUCACCGAUGAAGAUAAUGACGGUAGUCGGAGAAGAAGCCCCGGCUAACUUCGUG